UGGGGAAUAUUGGACAAUGGGCGCAAGCCUGAUCCAGCCAUGCCGCGUGAGUGAUGAAGGCCCUAGGGUUGUAAAGCUCUUUCACCGGUGAAGAUAAUGACGGUAACCGGAGAAGAAGCCCCGGCUAACUUCGUGCCAGCAGCCGCGGUAAUACGAAGGGGGCUAGCGUUGUUCGGAUUUACUGGGCGUAAAGCGCACGUAGGCGGACUUUUAAGUCAGGGGUGAAAUCCCGGGGCUCAACCCCGGAACUGCCUUUGAUACUGGAAGUCUUGAGUAUGGUAGAGGUGAGUGGAAUUCCGAGUGUAGAGGUGAAAUUCGUAGAUAUUCGGUGGAACACCAGUGGCUAAGGCGGCUCACUGAACCAUUACUGACGCUGAGGUGCGAAAGCGUGGGGAGCAAACAGG
rnacentral:rRNA from 1 species